UACGGAGGGGGCUAGCGUUGUUCGGAAUUACUGGGCGUAAAGCGUGCGCAGGCGGUUCGUUGUGUCGGCGGUGAAAGCCCCGGGCUUAACCUGGGAAUGGCCGUUGAAACUGGCGAACUGGAGUGUGGCAGAGGGGGGUGGAAUUCCGCGUGUAGCAGUGAAAUGCGUAGAGAUGCGGAGGAACACCGAUGGCGAAGGCAGCCCUCUGGGCUAACACUGACGCUCAGGCACGAAAGCGUGGGGAGCAAACAGG
rnacentral:rRNA from 1 species